CCACGCCGUAAACGGUGGGUGCUAGGUGUAGGCGGUAUUCCACGCCGUCUGUGCCGCAGCUAACGCAUUAAGCACCCCGCCUGGGGAGUACGGCCGCAAGGCUAAAACUCAAAGGAAUUGACGGGGGCCCGCACAAGCAGCGGAGCAUGUGGCUUAAUUCGACGCAACGCGAAGAACCUUACCAAGGCUUGACAUACACCGAAAACUCGUAGAGAUACGGGGUCCGCAAGGGCGGUGUACAGGUGGUGCAUGGUUGU
rnacentral:rRNA from 1 species